ACAGCAGUCGCCGCGGUAAUACGAAGGGGGCUAGCGUUGCUCGGAAUUACUGGGCGUAAAGGGCGCGUAGGCGGACAGUUCAGUCGGGGGUGAAAGCCCGGGGCUCAACCUCGGAAUUGCCUUCGAUACUGGCUGUCUUGAGUGUGAGAGAGGUGUGUGGAACUCCGAGUGUAGAGGUGAAAUUCGUAGAUAUUCGGAAGAACACCAGUGGCGAAGGCGACACACUGGCUCACUACUGACGCUGAGGCGCGAAAGCGUGGGGAGCAAACAGGAUUAGAUACCCCAGUAGUCCCUGUCUCUUAUAC
rnacentral:rRNA from 1 species